rnacentral:rRNA from 1 species
UAGAGUUUGAUCCUGGCUCAGGAUGAACGCUGGCGGCGUGCUUAACACAUGCAAGUCGAACGAAGCGAUCAGGAGGAAGUUUUCGGAUGGAAUCCGGAUUGACUGAGUGGCGGACGGGUGAGUAACGCGUGGGUAACCUGCCUCAUACAGGGGGAUAACAGUUAGAAAUGACUGCUAAUACCGCAUAAGCGCACAGGGACACAUGUUCCGGUGUGAAAAACUCCGGUGGUAUGAGAUGGACCCGCGUCUGAUUAGCUGGUUGGCGGGGUAACGGCCCACCAAGGCGACGAUCAGUAGCCGACCUGAGAGGGUGACCGGCCACAUUGGGACUGAGACACGGCCCAAACUCCUACGGGAGGCAGCAGUGGGGAAUAUUGCACAAUGGGGGAAACCCUGAUGCAGCAACGCCGCGUGAGUGAAGAAGUAUUUCGGUAUGUAAAGCUCUAUCAGCAGGGAAGAAGAUGACGGUACCUGAGUAAGAAGCCCCGGCUAACUACGUGCCAGCAGCCGCGGUAAUACGUAGGGGGCAAGCGUUAUCCGGAUUUACUGGGUGUAAAGGGAGCGUAGACGGUGAGACAAGUCUGAAGUGAAAGCCCGGGGCUCAACCCCGGGACUGCUUUGGAAACUGCCUGACUGGAGUGCUGGAGAGGCAAGCGGAAUUCCUAGUGUAGCGGUGAAAUGCGUAGAUAUUAGGAAGAACACCAGUGGCGAAGGCGGCUUGCUGGACAGUAACUGACGUUGAGGCUCGAAAGCGUGGGGAGCAAACAGGAUUAGAUACCCUGGUAGUC